CGCAUAGUCGCCAAGUCUGGUUAAGGCACAGGUCUGCAAAACCUGGAUCCCCAGUUCGAAUCUGGGCUAUGCGU
rnacentral:tRNA from 1 species